AAGUCGUAACAAGGUUUCCGUAGGUGAACCUGCGGAAGGAUCAUUAGCAGAUUUGGUGGUUGUGGUGGGGGAGUUAUAUAAUAACUCUUCCAUACCACACAUUCGCGCUUGUCUUGUUUCACAGAGUAAAUUUACACUUAUAAUCACACAUAACUUUUAACAAUGGAUCUCUGGGCUCUU
rnacentral:misc_RNA from 1 species